rnacentral:rRNA from 1 species
UACGUAGGGUCCGAGCGUUGUCCGGAAUUACUGGGCGUAAAGAGUUCGUAGGCGGUUUGUCGCGUCGUUCGUGAAAACUUGGGGCUUAACUCCAAGCGUGCGGGCGAUACGGGCAGACUUGAGUACUACAGGGGAGACUGGAAUUCCUGGUGUAGCGGUGAAAUGCGCAGAUAUCAGGAGGAACACCUGCGGUGUAGACGGCUUACUGGACGGUAACUGACGCUGAGGCACGAAAGCGUGGGUAGCAAACAGG